ensembl:lncRNA
AUUUUCCCUUUGCCCGGGCACUCGCCGAGCGGGCUGGAGCAAUGAUACUGGAAGAAGAUGGAAGGGCUGGAAGUUCUAAUGUGUAAAUGAGACUGAUGUACACCUUCUUGGUCCAGCUCCUCUUGUGACAGGCCUUGUCCAGCUCCCAUCUGUGCUGGAGAAGAAAGGGACUGGUUAUUUCAUAAGGUUGCUAAUCAGCAGCUCCCUUCUCUUACUCCUCCUGGCCAUUUUCCUCAGACCUGCUGGAAGUCUGUAUGCAGUUGCGGGGCUGUGCCCUCAUUGAAGUCUUCAAACAACUGGAAGAAGCCUCCCAUUUGCAGGCCCUAGUUGUUGUAGGGGACUUUAACCACCCUCACAUCUGAACCUUGGGUACAACAGAGUUCAAGCAAUCUUGGAGAAUUCAAGAGUGCACCAGUGACAGCUUCGUGGCACAGGUCAAGGAGCUAAUGGCGAAAGGUGCUGUGCUGGACAUGAUUCUUAAAAACAAGGAAGAAGAACUGAUUGGGAAUGCGAAAGUGGGGUCAGCCUUAGUGGCAGUGACCAUGAGAUGACUGAGUUCCGGAUUCUAAGAGGAGGGAGCAGGGUGAAAGGCAGGACCGCAAGCUUGGUUUCAGAAGAAUGAGCUUUGGCCUCUUCAAAGGUCUGCUUGUAAUAAAUCCUGGAAAGAACAGGUCCAGAAUUGCUGCUUGGUAUACAAGGAUCACCUUCAUGCUUAAGAAAGAUCCCUCCCAACAAGUAUGAAAUCAAGUGAAGGCAGCAGGAGGAAGGCAGACAGGCUUUUCUCAGUAGUGCCCACAGAUGGGACAAGAAGCUCAAAUUGAGACAUUGGAGAUUCCUUUCUUCUUUAUUUUCACUGUGAAAGUGGUCAAAAAUUGGAACAGGUUGCCCCAAGAGGUUCUGGAUUUUCCAUUCACGGAAAUAUAUGUUCAAAACCAAGUGGGCAUGGUCCUUGGCAACUGUCGCUCAUCUUGCCUGGGAGCAGUUGGACUGGGUCACCUCAAAAGUCUCUAUUGACUUCAAAAAUUCUAUGAUUUCUGUGAAAAGUUUUCCUAUCUGCCAAGUGCAAAAAGAGACACAAAGCUCUACUUAGCUUGACACAAGGAGUAGGUCACAAACUCCCACUGUGUCCGUAAGUGGCUGGGACUGAGUUGGGAAGACAGAACUGGCCAUCUUCUCUUUAAUCGUCAGGGAGCUACAUGGUCUUUCCAGGUCCAGUUUAAGAAAGUGUUAACAGUCUUCUUCUACUGAUGAACAGUUGUGCUCUCUCUCACAAAGAAACAUUUAAAAUCUUUCUCAUUUUUUUUAAUCAACAUUCCAGUAGCCAGUCUAUGAGAGUGACUUUGGUAUUAUCCAGCAGUGAUUGAAUGAUUCCUAUUUGCUGUGAAGGUGACCUGCAAAGCAAACCACUUUUUAUCCUCUGCUUCUUUAUGAUGUAUAAAGAAACCAGA